GCCUUCGUGGUGUAAUGGUGAAGCACACUCGGCGCGUAUUCGAGAGGUCCGGGUUCGAGUCCCGGUGAGUCCC
rnacentral:tRNA from 1 species